rnacentral:rRNA from 1 species
CCUACGGGAGGCAGCAGUGAGGAAUAUUCGUCAAUGGCCGAGAGGCUGAACCAGCCAAGUCGCGUGAGGGAAGACGGCCCUACGGGUUGUAAACCUCUUUUGUCGGGGAGCAAAGCGAGUCACGUGUGAAUCAUUGAGAGUACCCGUAGCAAAAGCAUCGGCUAACUCCGUGCCAGUAGCCGCGGUAAUACGGAGGCUGCGAGCGUUAUCCGGAUUUAUUGGGUUUAAAGGGUGCGCAGGCGGAGGUGCAAGUCAGCGGUAAAAUUGCGGGGCUAAACCCCGUACUGCCGUUGAAACUGAAUCCCUUGAGUGCGCGAGAAGUAUGCGGAAUGCGUGGUGUAGCGGUGAAAUGCAUAGAUAUCACGCAGAACUCCGAUUGCGAAGGCAGCUUACUAAACUGCCACUGACAUUGAUGCUCGAAAGUGUGGGUAUCAAACAGGAUUAGAUACCCUAGUAGUC